rnacentral:rRNA from 1 species
GACGAACGCUGGCGGCGUGCCUAAUACAUGCAAGUCGAGCGCGGGAAGCAGGCAGAUCUCCUUCGGGAGUGACGCCUGUGGAACGAGCGGCGGACGGGUGAGUAUCACGUGGGCAACCUGCCUGUAAGAUCGGGAUAACUCGUGGAAACGCGAGCUAAGACCGGAUAUCAUCUCUCACCGCAUGGUGAGAGAUUGAAAGGCGGCUUCUGGCUGCCACUUACAGAUGGGCCCGCGGCGCAUUAGUUAGUUGGUGGGAUCAAAGCCUACCAAGGCCACGAUGCGUAGCCGACCUGAGAGGGUGAUCGGCCACACUGGAACUGAGACACGGUCCAGACUCCUACGGGAGGCAGCAGUAGGGAAUCAUCCGCAAUGGACGAAAGUCUGACGGUGCAACGCCGCGUGAGUGAAGAAGGUCCUUGGAUCGUAAAACUCUGUUGUCAGGGAAGAACAGAUACAGUUCGAACAGGGCUGUAUUAUGACGGUACCUGACCAGAAAGCCCCGGCUAACUACGUGCCAGCAGCCGCGGAUAUACGUAGGGGGCAAGCGUUGUCCGGAAUUAUUGGGCGUAAAGGGCGCGCAGGCCGUCUUUUAAGUCUGAUGUGAAAGCCCGCGGCUUAACCGCGGCAGGUCAUUGGAAACUGAAGGACUUGAGUACAGAAGAGGAGAAUGGAAUUCCACGUGUAGCCGGUUAAAUGCGUA